UACGGGGGGGGCAAGCGUUGUUUGGAAUUACUGGGCGUAAAGGGCUCGUAGGUGGCCAACUAAGUCAGACGUGAAAUCCCUCAGCUUAACUGGGGAACUGCGUCUGAUACUGGAUGGCUUGAGUUCGGGAGAGGGAUGCGGAAUUCCAGGUGUAGCGGUGAAAUGCGUAGAUAUCUGGAGGAAGACCAGUGGCGAAGGCGGGUCUCUGGACAGUACCUGACACUGAGACACGAAGGCCAGGGGAGCAAACGGG
rnacentral:rRNA from 1 species